rnacentral:rRNA from 1 species
UACGUAGGGUGCGAGCGUUGUCCGGAAUUAUUGGGCGUAAAGAGCUUGUAGGCGGUCUGUCGCGUCUGCCGUGAAAUUUCGGGGCUCAACCCCGAACUUGCGGUGGGUACGGGCAGACUAGAGUGUGGUAGGGGAGACUGGAAUUCCUGGUGUAGCGGUGAAAUGCGCAGAUAUCAGGAGGAACACCGAUGGCGAAGGCAGGCCUCUGGGCCACUACUGACGCUGAGAAGCGAAAGCAUGGGGAGCGAACAGG